rnacentral:rRNA from 1 species
ACGUAGGGUGCGAGCGUUAAUCGGAAUUACUGGGCGUAAAGGGUGCGCAGGCGGUUGUGCAAGACAGAUGUGAAAUCCCCGGGCUUAACCUGGGAAUUGCAUUUGUGACUGCACGGCUAGAGUGUGUCAGAGGGGGGUAGAAUUCCACGUGUAGCAGUGAAAUGCGUAGAUAUGUGGAGGAAUACCGAUGGCGAAGGCAGCCCCCUGGGAUAACACUGACGCUCAUGCACGAAAGCGUGGGGAGCAAACAGGAUUAGAUACCCUGGUAGUCCACGCCCUAAACGAUGUCAACUAGUUGUCGGGUCUUAAUUGACUUGGUAACGCAGCUAACGCGUGAAGUUGACCGCCUGGGGAGUACGGUCGCAAGAUUA